AAUCUUCCACAAUGGGUGCAAACCUGAUGGAGCAAUGCCGCGUGAAUGAAGAAGGUCUUCGGAUCGUAAAGUUCUGUUAUUAGAGAAGAACAAGCCAAGGAGUAACUGUCUUUGCUUUGACGGUACCUAACCAGAAAGUUCCGGCUAAAUAAGUGCCACCAGCCGCGGUAAUACGUAGGUGACAAGCGUUGUCCGGAAUUAUUGGGCGUAAAGGGCGCGCAGGCGGUUGGAAUAGUCUGAUGUGAAAGCCCACGGCUUAACCGUGGAAGGUCAUUGGAAACUGUCCAACUUGAAUGCAGAAGAGGUAAGUGGAAUUCCAUGUGUAGCGGUGAAAUGCGUAGAUAUAUGGAGGAACGCCAGUGGCGAAGGCGACUUACUGGUCCGUGAUUGACGCUGAGGCUCGAAAGCGUGGGUAGCGAACA
rnacentral:rRNA from 1 species